rnacentral:rRNA from 1 species
GACGAGGGAUCCUAGCGUUGUUCGGAAUCAUUGGGCGUAAAGCGGGUGUAGGUGGCUUUAUAAGUCGGGUGUGAAAGCCCUGGGCUCAACCCAGGAAGUGCAUUCGAUACUGUUUAGCUUGAGUGUGGGAGAGGUUACUAGAAUUGUUGGUGUAGUGGUGAAAUACGUAGAUAUCGGGAGGAACACCAAUGGCGAAGGCAGCUCGCUGGGACGUGACUGACGCUGAGACGCGAAAGCGUGGGGAGCAAACAGG